rnacentral:lncRNA from 1 species
UGUUCUAACAGGCAAAGAAAGUAUAACUAAUGAAAUUAAAUUCAGGGAAGAAAGAUGAGCUCUGCUAAUGAUUAAUGUGUGGCUUAACAGAUCAACAGGACACGCUGAGUGGAGAGGUCGCCCAGACGGUUCCAGUCUGACGCCCAUGGAAAGGAAGAACAAUGAAAAAGUUCACGGAGUCCCACGUGUGUGCCAGGCCCUGGGGUAGGGAGGAGGAACAGCUGAGGACACGAGGCUCCAGACCCUGCAGUUCACAAGAGAACCCUGUGGCAUCUGGGAAGUGGACAACGGGGAAAUCAAAUGCCGGGAGAGCUCUUGCCCUUCUAAGACAGAGGCGGGAGGCACGGCUGGAAGCCAGCCCAGUAGACUGAACACCUUCUGGAAGAUUCUCCUUCGAACCGAGUACCUUGAAGAGGACUCCCACUCUUUCAGGACACAACCCUAAUGGAACUUUCUCACCAGGCUUGUCUUUGGCUUAGUGGUCAUUCACAGAUGAGCACGUGAGCCGUGUGGGCCAAUCAGAGAACUUCUCUGGGAUGUUUUGGAUGGAGUUGAUGGUAAAGAAUAUGAUCUUUGUGCUGUCAGUCAACGUCUUCAUGAGCUGGCCGGAGCCAGCCUGGGAGAAGGGGGUUGUCCUCAAAGAAGCAGAGGAAAAAAGCACGGGGUGUGCCCCGGUCCUGCCUCAGGUUGCUUUGAAGGGCCUUUGAGAGCCUUUUGCACAAAGUGCCUGAAAGGCAGGGUCACUAGAGUGCAAUGUAGACUCCGGGGCAUUUUUUAAAAAUGGAUUCAGCCGCCCACAGGUGUGAAGGUGAGGAAACAGCAAGCUGCUGACCGGGUUUUGAACAGAAAUUAUACAACUUCUGAAAACAAAUUGCGUUGCUGGAGUGGGGCUUGGCCAGGAGUCCAUCUGCCUCGAUCCUCCCUUUGGCUGGCUGAGCACUUUAGCCCAUCGGGCACAGAGUGGCAGCACGUGGGACCCCCACGCCGCCCUCAGGCCUGCUGCUUGAGGAACUGUUGAAUGUUCCGGAUCCAUGACCAGGAUCAGGGAAAAGGUGCUGUGGAGAAGAGGGAGGAGUUCCGGCUGGAGGAAAGUGAAGAUGCCCUAUUGUGGGUUUGCUGCAAGAGGGGGUGCGGACAGGCAGUGGCUGCCUAGCGGCGGGGUUUGCAGGCACCACCAUCAGCUUGGGAACAAUAUCCAAGGUCAUCCUGGAAUGUCUUCCCACUGAGCUCCAGUUGGCGUCAUAUUUUUUCUGGGACUUAGAGCAGGAGAUAGAGACUCAGGUAGGAAGCAGAGCUCUGGGAGAGCAGACACAAACAUGGCCAACUUUAUGAUUCAAUUGAAAGUCAGCUUGGAGCAUAGAGGGGCUGAGA